UUUUAAUCAAUGUAAUAUGGACGUAAGAAAGAGAAAAGAAAAAAGAGGGAAAACAUAGGAGUCAAUUAAUAAGGGGCGAAAUAUAAGCAGCUUAUUACCGUAGGCAACUUUUAAUGUUGCAUUUAUUAUCACAAUCAGCAAUAUCGGGUUGAACAUUGCAACAGAAGCAACGGCCCAAUUGUCUAAGCCUGGCCAUACCAUAAUCGGUUGCUUAACGAGAUGAAUUGACUGCUCUUGAUAAGAUCGACAUUAAUUCUUUCAAAAUGGAAAAA